GGGCCCAUAGCAUAGUGGCAGUGCAUCCGGUUUGCAUCCGGAGGGCGGGAGUUCAAUUCUCCCUGGGUCCACCA
rnacentral:tRNA from 1 species